rnacentral:misc_RNA from 1 species
GGGAGACAGUGAAAGGAGACAAAGAAAGGUUUUUGAGCUUGAAGAAAAUGAGAGAAAGCUUAAUGUGCCUCUUGAACAAGCAGAAAAUGACAGAAGGCUGAAGAAGGCUGUCCAUAAGCAGGAAGAANNNNNNNNNNAUGAAAGAGAAGAAAAUGAGAGGAGAUUAAGGGAGGCGCUUAGGCGGGAAGAAAAUGAGAGGAGACUGAAAGAGGCUCUUGAGAAGAAAGAGAAUGAGAGGAUACUGAAGGAGACUGGUGAGAAGGAAGAGAGACUGAGAAGACAAAGAGAGGCUGUUGAACGGCAAGAGAAUGAGAAUAGACUAAGAGAGGUUCGUGAAAGAAAAGAAAAUGAGAAGAGACAGAGAGAGGCUCCUGGAAGAGAAGAAAAAGAGAAGAGACAGA